AGAGUUUGAUCCUGGCUCAGAUUGAACGCUGGCGGCAUGCCUUACACAUGCAAGUCGAACGGCAGCACGGGCUUCGGCCUGGUGGCGAGUGGCGAACGGGUGAGUAAUGCGUCGGAACGCGCCGAGUAGUGGGGGAUAACGCAGCGAAAGCUGUGCUAAUACCGCAUACGUACUGAGGUAGAAAGUGGGGGACCUUCGGGCCUCACGCUAUUCGAGCGGCCGACGUCUGAUUAGCUAGUUGGUGGGGUAAAGGCUCACCAAGGCGACGAUCAGUAGCGGGUCUGAGAGGAUGAUCCGCCACACUGGGACUGAGACACGGCCCAGACACCUACGGGAGGCAGCAGUGGGGAAUUUUGGACAAUGGGCGCAAGCCUGAUCCAGCCAUGCCGCGUGUCUGAAGAAGGCCUUCGGGUUGUAAAGGACUUUUGUCCGGGAGCAAAGCCUACUUGUUA
rnacentral:rRNA from 1 species